rnacentral:sRNA from 1 species
AACUAGCCCUGAUCGCAGUGGAAAUCCUUUUUUAUCGGCGCGCAAGCGACGAAAAAAAGAUUGAAACGGAGAGCAGGAAAAAGC